UACGAGAGGCCCAAACGUUAUUCGGAAUUACUGGGCUUAAAGAGUUCGUAGGCGGCGCAGAAAGUAGGGUGUGAAAGCCCUCGGCUCAACCGAGGAAUUGCGCUCUAAACUACUGUGCUCGAGGAACCUAGAGGUGAGCAGAACAGAUGGUGGAGCGGUGAAAUGCGUAGAUAUCUGGAGGAACACCGGUGGCGAAGGCGGCAUCCUGGACCAAUAUUGACGCUGAGGAGCGAAAGCCAGGGGAGCAAACGGG
rnacentral:rRNA from 1 species